AUUGAACGCUGGCGGCAGGCCUAACACAUGCAAGUCGAACGGUAACAGGAAACAGCUUGCUGUUUCGCUGACGAGUGGCGGGCGUGUGAGUAAUGUCUGGGAAACUGCCUGAUGGAGGGGGAUAACUACUGGAAACGGUAGCUAAUACCGCAUAACGUCGCAAGACCAAAGAGGGGGACCUUCGGGCCUCUUGCCAUCGGAUGUGCCCCGAUGGGAUUAGCUAGCAGGUGGGGUAACGGCUCACCUAGGCGACGAUCCCUAGCUGGUCUGAGAGGAUGACCAGCCACACUGGAACUGAGACACGGUCCAGACUCCUACGGGAGGCAGCAGUGGGGAAUAUUGCACAAUGGGCGCAAGCCUGAUGCAGCCAUGCCGCGUGUAUGAAGAAGGCCUUCGGGUUGUAAAGUACUUUCAGCGGGGAGGAAAGGAGUAAAGUUAAUACCUUUGCUCAUUGACGUUACCCGCAGAAGAAGCACCGGCUAACUCCGUG
rnacentral:rRNA from 1 species